ACGAGGGGUACUCAGCUUUACAAAAAUUGUAGAAGGGGUACACAUAUGUCAAAAGUUUGGGAAACACUGCUUCAGAAACAUGGACGUUUCUGAAAAGGGAGGGUAAACUGGAGAUCAGAGAGAAGACAGGCUAUCAAUUAGGAAACUAUUAAAAUAUAAUAGAUGGGCUGACCAAUCAGUAGGUACAGAACCAAGAUAAGGUAUGGACCCUGGGGAUCAUGGCCUGGUCCUGUUUCCCAGGUCCCCAAGUCAACUUUGUAAUGACAUCUAGCGUUAGCCAUCUCAGCAGGAAUGGCUCACAUCAGUGACAUGUACAUUAUAUGCAUAAAGCAGAAUUAAGGUGGAAACUUCCAUUGCCAAGCAGAUACGAUACUAUCGGGUCUAGUAUUUCUUCCCUUUUCUGGGAAGAAAAUUCACCUGAGAAGUUAAAUCAUUAGUUGAUUACUUGGUUAGCAUGGCACCUUGAAACUGACACCCUCGUGGUCUGACCUUGAAGGCUGGUCCAUCCAGCUCCUAAGAGCCUGACAAUGACAGCAGGCCUCCAAAGAGAGAACUCUGAGUGGUGAUGUCCCGGUGUUGACUGAUCAUCCAGGCCACUAUAAUCUGGGAUGUUCCUGAAAAGAUUUUACAGUGGUUGUGUCACAUGUUUGAUGCUUAGUGACUAGUGGCCUUGGCACACUUCCUAGUUUUGAAUGAAGCUGAGCCUUUCUGAAUGCUUCGAGUCAAAGGAGUUGAAAGCCUACUGGAACCUUAAAGAUCAAUUCCAUUCCCCUCAUAUUACUGACUCUCCUUUUCCCUCCCACUGCUAAAAAAAGGAAAUGAAAACAAACAAAACAAACAAAA